GUUGAUAGAGGAAUUUGGUAAUCAACAAAGAUGAGGUUCAUAGCCGGAAUCAAGAUCUGUGACGGUGGUUUUAGCUGCCGGAGUGUGGUGGUUGUGUGUUUUAGGGGGUGGCUGAGAUUAGGGUUUUGAGUUGGUCUCACGUGCUCUCAACUCAUGAUCCCCAAAUGUGCCUACGUACCCCUAUAUUUAUAGGGGAUCAAGCCAUACGUAGUUCUAUGGAACCAGGAGUCCUAGUUUGAUCAGGACUAGGCCUCUUGGCGAUAAGGUCGGAGAUAGGCCGAAGGCCCAUCUUGGAGAAUCCUACUCCUGUUAGAAUUAGUCUUGAGUAUGACUACCUCAGACUCCUAAUCCAAAUAGAUCACGGAUUCAACGAUAUCUCCACUACGAGAGAUAGCAUCUACCACGACUCUUAUGGAGAAGUUAUCUGGGGGAGCCAUGACUAACCCCUCGAGGUGCAGGGACACGUCCUCACCUCUCGGUGAGGUCUUCAUCUUCAAACAAGGUAGACAAGGAGCCAAAUUACACGAUCGUCUCAAUCCCCCGAUGAGGGCUAACUCACCAGAAUACAGGAUCCAGACAUAUGAUCGGCCUUCGUGUUACCCCGGAGGGCCUUCAAGAGCCAUGAUCACCUCAAGCCCCCACACGAGGGUUAACUCGGCAGAUAGCAGGAUUGAGGAUUGUAGAUCAUGCCCGGAUGAGCCCGGGAACUAUCAGAUGAGCCUGAUAACUACCAAAUGAGCUUGGUAACUACCAAAUGAGCUUGGUAACUAGUCUUCAUAUCCCUCGGAAGGGUCGUCACGGAGACUCACUCAUCCUCUCUCUCUCAUCAUGUAUUUCAUAACUAUGCCUCUUCUGAGUCAAAGGACGCGCCCUGAUAGGGAGGACGUGUCCUUCCCAAUUCCCGUCUUCAUCCCUGUUUACUGGACAAGAGACCGCACUCCCCGGGUUAUGUCCGGAGGAGGGCGCGUCCUCCCCUCUACAUGGUGUACAAAAACGGCUACAACACCUCGGAAGAGUCGUCGUAUCCCCCGGAGGGGUCGUCAUAUCCCCCGGAGGGGUAGGUCUUCUUAUCCCCGGAGGGACGGUCUUCGUCUCCCUCGGAAGGGUUGUCUCAGCGAAUGUACACUCUCCCAUAAGAAGAGCCUUCUUACAAUAUGUGUUUACAUGUGGGAGCGACCCCUGAGGGCGCGCCCUUGCCUUCGCCGUCUUGUCCCAUCGACCACUCCAACAACACAUCAGACAUGUCCUUCUUUAACAUGAGGCCGCGCCCCUCAGUCACCUCCGAAGAGGGCGCGCCCUCCUCCAACACCAUGACCAAUUUUGGUCAUAACAGGGUGGACGGAGGGUCGGUCGCGUCCUUCCAUCAACGUCCUCAAGAGCCGCGUCUCUCCUUCCAUCAACAUCCUCAAGAGUCGCGUCUCUCCUUGUGACUCGGAGAACGCGUCCUCUUUACGCAACAUCGGCGGAUUAGUCACGCCACGGAGGGCUGCGCCCUUCCGUUCAGACUAGUCUCUUCAAGGGUCGGUCGCGUCCUCACUUUAUAAGCAGGAGGACGCGUCCUGAUACCCCAUAUAGGACUCUUAGCCCAAUUCAUGUCUUACUUAGUUAAACUAAGUACAUACCCGGCCCAACAAGGACCUAGCCAAAUUUGGCUAUAACAAGUACUCCCCAAAUUCUUUUGACAUUGGAGAUGUCAAUGGAAUUUUCAUAAUACAAAAUUUUGUCCCUUUUCCUGUAACGGCGGAGGAGAGAACAUGCUCUUAAAUUUAUAAAGAGUCUGUAAAAAUAUCUUGGAGCUCCAAUUUUUCCGGCAGCUUAGAAUAAUGUACUCAGGCGCGCCUCGAAUAAUUUUUAUUUGCUCAAAUAAAUAUUAUUCUAUAUAAUAAUUAUUUUAUCACACAUGGCGCGCCCAACUUCCCAGGUCUCAAUUCCUUGGUCACGGAUUUUCCUGUAACAAAUGACAGUAGUCCAUUCCGAGACAAAGUUACAUGCCAUGUCACACAUUCAAAUCAUGUGCCACCAAAAUUAUUUGGCCCCGUCAGAUUGUGCUAUUAUUAUAUUUAUAAAACUAUUACUCCAUAAUACUCACACCUUGCCGUACCAAGUUUGUCAUGUGUGGUUCAUCAUCAUUUUUACUAGCGAUCCCCACUUAGCAUGUGACUUUGCCACAAAUAUGUUAGCGUUGGUAUUUCUUUAGGCCAACACAUUGUACUAGCACAUUCACUUGAUCAUGGGACGUCGACUCUUUAUUUCUUCUGUAUCUAGGCGCGCCCUUAAUCAUUUUAUUAAGAGUUAUCUUCUUCCUGUUUGAUAUGAGGCUUCAACACAUGAUGUAAAUUUGAGAAUUUCUUUUUUACUAACCUGACUCGUGUCACAGUCGCAAGCAAAAUAAGAUUGUGAGACCAGUUUCCACAUAACCAUCACAAAAGCAAGGGUCGCCCUCUUGCCACCUUUAAUUUGGUUGUUAUUUCUUUAACACGUCAAUCAUGCUAUACUCUCUUUUAAUCCAUCCAAAUACUCCCCAGUAUUUUUUAUAGAGAACUUUCUUAUAGAAUAAUAAAUUCGACCACCUUGCAUCAUGGUGUCCGGGCGCGUCCUCAAACGAUUUUUUUUUUACAUCGCACGAGCUCAGUUUUCUUUCUGUAAAAUGACCGGUACAUAUUUUACUUGCUCCCGGGGUGAGUAUUGACACAUGAUAUAUAUGCGCAGUGUAGAAGCAUGAAGGUGGCAUUAGUUUGUACUUAAAUAAAUGCACAUGCACAUUUCAAUAUUGCUUUGCCUUCUCUUUAUUUGCAUUUAAUAUGGGUCUCAUGAUGCAUUAAUAAAGCCAAUUGAAUAGGCUCAUGCAUGUUGUUUAGCUCAAGUACUUUUCAUCUCUAUUUUUCCAAGCAACGAGCAUUAACUAUGACACCAUAUUUAGUGAUUAUCAUCACUAGUUCACCUCCAUUAAUUACAUGUAACUUCUUCUAUCUCUUUGCCAUAUUAGACCCAACUUUCCCUUUUAAAAAUAAACUACAUACUCAGUGGCGCGCCUUGAGCAACUCAAGUUUACGGCAUGUCUUCUAUACCGUGGCCUUAUAAAUCUAGUGAAUAUGAUAUCAAUUAUUGGCCAGGUAUUUUCAUGCCACUAAUAUAUACAUUUUGCUCAGCAGAAAUUUUCCGACCUCAUAUUUUUAUAUGUGACCAACACGUAAAAAUAUAGCGUUUUGCUUUCUCUACGUGAACAAAUUUUUCUUUUUAAAAGAAAUGGCGCGCCUUCUCGGUCUUGUUAAGUAAGAAGGGUUUCUGUCUUCCGGCCGCUAAAUAAACAUGAUAUUCACCUGGCAGUAAUAUUAUAGGCGCGUCCUUUGAGCUAUAUACUUUUCUACAUUUUAGUAAUAAUAGUACCAGCUUUGUACACAUAUUUAACAUGUCGAAACUCAUCAGGAUCGAUGCAGCCAACUUUGGGCUUUUCCAGGGAAGUGCCCUCGGAAACUCAAAGUCUAAAGAGUGUCUUUUCUUUUUGAAAACAUGGCAAGGCGCGCCCUUGACCAAUACUUCAACACUCUGUUUUACUGCAUUUUUAGUAUCGGCCAGGUGCCCGAAUAUGAGGCCGGCGCACGACAUGAUAUGUUCAAAAACUAUGAACACCCUUCGUGUACAGACAAGACUUCUAUUUAGGUAUGUCUGAAUUCUGGAUAAGCAAAGGGCGCGACCUUUUUGUCAAAGACAAAAGGACGCAGGCUUACACAUCCUUCGAAAGAAAAAAGUUUGAUUUUUAGAUCUAUUUUUCACAAGUGAAUCAUGUCAAGAAAAGGGGAGCGCCUUUACAAAGGCCAUGGUUGUUCUCAACACAUAACUAUCCAUGCGCCUCAUUAUCAUUACAAUGUUCAUGAUGUUUUGGACAGGUAAACAAGGGUGCGCCCUAUCCAUUAUCAACAUAACAGCGUAGCCUUCUUGUAAUGUCACUUCUUUUUUAUCUUUUCCAAGAAUAAUGCAGGCAGAGGGCGCGGCCUAUGGUGCAACCUUACUUUUUCAUGCGUAAAUUACUCGCUUAUGUAAGAAGAGGACUACUCCCCAGUCUAUAAAUCAUCCCAUAUGGGGCAUCACGCAUCUUAUCGUGGUUUAAAUAGAUACGGUGCAUCGCACGGAUCUCAGAGCUCAUGGCUCAAUUAGGGAAUAAUACAAAGGGUUAUCCAGAGCAUAUCAUGGAUAUGUCACGUCCGGAGCGUAUCAUGGAUACGUGAAAAUUAAAGGGGGCACGACCUAUCAGGGGGUGGCGUGCCUUCUCCGGAAGUGUCAAGGGGUGCAUUCUUCAUGGCGGUAGUCCAACACCACAUUACCUGUAGUUUUAUAUACACCAUACACCUAGAGAAUGAAAUAAUGAGAAGGUUUAGAAUGAAGUUUUACCUGGGGGCGCGCCCUGUCAGGGGGAGGUGUACCCCGUCUGGGGGAGGCGUACCCUCUUCGGAGGUGUCAGGUCUCCGAGAAUCGCAUCCUUCGCUGACUCCCCGGUCCAGAAAACCUUGCUCGCAUAUUAGGUUACCUCCUAGAAUUUCGUUGAUGAUCAUCCUCCGCCGAACUCUUGGUGGAGAUUUCAUCGUUUUCUGGAGCUAUGAAUGAACGUCUCCUCUUCUCUUGUGCUCUAGCCAUCGCCCUGCCGGAAAACGCUCCUCCUCUAUGUGCGAAUCUCCGUCGUGUGACAUCUCUUCCUCCUAAGAUGAAGAUCUUGAAUAGCCCCUCCUUCUAGCGCCAAUUUGUUGAUAGAGGAAUUUGGUAAUCAACAAAGAUGAGGUUCAUAGCCGGAAUCAAGAUCUGUGACGGUGGUUUUAGCUGCCGGAGUGUGGUGGUUGUGUGUUUUAGAGGGUGGCUGAGAUUAGGGUUUUGAGUUGGUCUCACGUGCUCUCAACUCAUGAUCCCCCAAUGUGCCUACGUACCCCUAUUUACAGGGGAUCAAGCCAUACGUAGUUCUAUUGGACCAGGAGUCCUAGUUUGAUCAGGACUAGGCCUCUUGGCGAUAAGGUCGGAGAUAGGCCGAAGGCCCAUCUUGGAGAAUCCUACUCCUGUUAGAAUUAGUCUUGAGUAUGACUACCUCAGACUCCUAAUCCAAAUAGAUCACGGAUUCAACGAUAUCUCCACUACGAGAGAUAGCAUCUACCACGACUCUUAUGGAGAAGUUAUCUGGGGGAGCCAUGACUAACCCCUCGAGGUGCAGGGACACGUCCUCACCUCUCGGUGAGGUCUUC
rnacentral:lncRNA from 1 species